CGCCUCUUGAAUUUAUUAGAGGUCCAGCCUGCCCAGUGACUCUUGUUUAACGGCCGCGGUAUCCUAACCGUGCUAAGGUAGCGUAAUCACUUGUCUUCUAAAUAAAGACUAGUAUGAAAGGCAUCACGAGGGUUUAACUGUCUCCUCUCUCUAAUCAGUGAACCUAAUCCCCCCGUGAAAAAGCGGGGAUUUUUUUAUAAGACGAGAAGACCCUAUGGAGCUUAAAACAUCCUACACGUGCCUGACUAACCACAUACCCCGGUAUCCACAUCCCCUUACACGAUGAUUUAAUGUUUUUGGUUGGGGUGACCGCGGAGAAAAACACAUCCCCCGCAAUGAAAGGAGUCCUUCCUUAACCACAAGCUACAACUUUAUGUAUUAAUAUAUUAACACCACUGACCCAAUAAAUUGAUUAAUGAACCAAGUUACCCUAGGGAUAACAGCGCAAUCCACUUCCAGAGCCCCUAUCGACAAGUGGGCUUACGACCUCGAUGUUGGAUCGGGGUAUCCUAGUGGUGCAGCCGCUACUAAGGGUUCGUUUGUUCAACGAUUAAAACCCC
rnacentral:rRNA from 1 species